AUAUCAGUCAUGCAUAGCAUAUCAAUAAGCGGAGGAAAAGAAACUAACAAGGAUUCCCUUAGUAACGGCGAGUGAAGCGGGAAGAGCUCAAAUUUGAAAUCUUCAAGGUUCUACCUUGACGAAUUGUAGUUUAUAGAAGUGUUUUCUGUUAGUAGAGUGGCAAAAGUUCUUUGGAAUAGGACAUCAUAGAGGGUGAGAAUCCCGUAUUUGGUCAUUCUUUCUAGCUUUGUGAUACACUUUCAAAGAGUCGGAUUGUUUGGGAAUGCAGUCCAAAAUGGGUGGUAAAUUUCAUCUAAAGCUAAAUACUGGCGAGAGACCGAUAGCGAACAAGUACCGUGAGGGAAAGAUGAAAAGAACUUUGAAAAGAGAGUUAAACAGUACGUGAAAUUGUCAAAAGGGAAGCGUUUGACACCAGUGUUGUUUUUCCGAAAAUCAAUUACGAAUGUUUUGUUUUUGAGGAGUUAUGACUUCAUCGGCUUGCUCCUUUCUUUACUGAAACUUUCUUAAUGCACUUUUCGGUUAACAAGUCAACAUCAAUUUCUUUUGUUGUAAAAGGGUAUGAGGAAGGUGGCCUUCUUUUCGGAGAAAGUGUUUAUAGCCUUGUAGCCUCUGCAAUCGGAGAGAUUGAGGUCUGCAGCGUAGAUCCUUCGGGGUUAGAUACAUUUGUGCUAAGUUAUAGCUUUUCAUAGACAACUUGUUGACUAUGUUAGUCUUGUAGCUUACUCGCUUACUGCUAUUUUACCUACGCUUAGGAUGUUGAUGUGAUACUGCGAGC
rnacentral:rRNA from 1 species